rnacentral:rRNA from 1 species
GAUGAACGCUGGCGGCGUGCCUAAUACAUGCAAGUCGAGCGAACAGACGAGGAGCUUGCUCCUCUGACGUUAGCGGCGGACGGUUGAGUAACACGUGGAUAACCUACCUAUAAGACUGGGAUAACUUCUGGAAACCGGAGCUAAUACCGGAUAAUAUAUUUAACCGCAUGGUUCAAUAGUGAAAGACGGUUUUGCUGUCACUUAUAGAUGGAUCCGCGCCGCAUUAGCUAGUUGGUAAGGUAACGGCUUACCAAGGCAACGAUGCGUAGCCGACCUGAGAGGGUGAUAGGCCACACUGGAACUGAGACACGGUCCAGACUCCUAAGGGAGGCAGCAGUAGGGAAUCUUCAGCAAUGGGCGAAAGCUUGACGGAGCAACGCCGCGUGAGUGAUGAAGGUCUUCGGAUCGUAAAACUCUGUUAUUAGGGAAGAACAAAUGUGUAAGUAACUAUGCACGUCUUGACGGUACCUAAUCAGAAAGCCACGGCUAACUACGUG